rnacentral:misc_RNA from 1 species
GUUGGAUUUCGAGACAUUUAAUUCGAAAUCUCGCAAGAUUUUUGGUAUUUCCGAUGAGAUUAGAAUUCUGACGUAGCGGCAUUUUCGAUCGGGAAAGGUAGAGGGGUUGAAUUGUGGAGAAUUUUGAAAUUCAAUGCAUCCAGAGGGCUGAAGCGAAAAAUUUGGAAGUUUGAGUGGACAAAUUUGGAGGUUCAAGGGUUAAGAGCUAAAUUUCAACGUGGUUAGCUCGCAAUUUGCAAGGAUUUUUGCUAUUCGAAAUGAAAUCGAUAUUCUGAUUGUUGCGGGAACGAAGAGCUCGAUUGGCCAUGGGCGAACG